UAUGGCUAUAUCAGGUUGAAACACCUGUUCCCAUACGAUCACCAAAGUUAAGCAACGUCGAGCCUGAUCAGUAUCUGUAUGUGUGACUAUUUGGGAAUAGCAGGUGCUGUAAG